rnacentral:rRNA from 1 species
UACGAAGGGGGCUAGCGUUGCUCGGAAUUACUGGGCGUAAAGCGCACGUAGGCGGUCUUUUAAGUCGGGGGUGAAAUCCUGGAGCUCAACUCCAGAACUGCCUUCGAUACUGGAAGACUUGAGUCCGGGAGAGGUGAGUGGAACUGCGAGUGUAGAGGUGAAAUUCGUAGAUAUUCGCAAGAACACCAGUGGCGAAGGCGGCUCACUGGCCCGGUACUGACGCUGAGGUGCGAAGCGUGGGAG